UUUCUGUUUCCAAGAUGCCUUUCCAGACUAGAACCCAGACAUGUGAGCCACUGGCCAGACACAACAUCUGGUGCCCACAUGGGACUGAGAAAUGGCAGAGGACAUUUGGAAAAACACUGCUGUUUUGGAGUUCCAUAGAAGAAGAGAAUAAUUAAAGGAAGUUCAUACCAGAGAAGGUUUCCAAGAUGCCUUUCCAGACUAGAACCCAGACAUGUGAGCCACUGGCCAGACACAACAGUGCUGGAGGAGCUGAGAAUUCUUAUUGACCUGAAGGCUGCUAGAAGAAGACCGGCAGCUAGGAGGAGAGUUUCAAAUCCCACCAAUGUUGACACACUUCCUCAAACAAGGCUCCAUCUACUCCAACAAGACCGCAUACCUGCUAAUAUUGCUACUCUCUGGGCCAAAUUUCUUCAAACCACCACAAGGACAUUCAGGAAUUAUGGUUGAUGACUUUGUUGUUUCAAGCCAGCUGAUACUGUAGCCAGAGGACAAACCCUGCAGAAGUUCUCUUAUGGCUAACAGUUACUUUUGGCUCUUAGCUAACCACAUGAAAGUGCUGUGGAGAGAGACGCUGGGGCAGACCAAUACUGAAAAAGGAAUGGAACAACUUCAGAUGAUCUUGUAAGGCUGAAUAGCUGAAAUCAGAGCCUUCUCUGCCUCCCACUUAUGUAGUCGCAGAUCUGAAUGCCACCUUGGAAGACUGGCCACUGUUCAGGACCUUGAAGAUUCAGCCUGGAUCCUCCCAGUGUAGACACCAGAGCACCAGAGGCAUCAGGGCUCGAAUCAACCCUCCCACCCUGGAGAGAUGUCUGAAGCAACUCCUUAGUGGAGUCUCUCUCUUAGUUCAUGGUAGCUGGCAAUUUACCCAGUCGUGAAAAUUCGGCAGAAUCUGGGGCUGUUUCCGAUAAGUCCCCACCCUGCCUUCCAGCUCAGGGAACACUAGAGGGACUCCUUCCUCCUACUAUUCAUUCCCUCUAUCUAUUCAUUCUCUGCACAGGAAUCCACCUUGUGAUUUCAAUACAUUGAGCUGGGAGACACAGGCUCAGUCAGGACUCUACAGGGGACUGAGGGCUGACUGUGGUUCUUGGAGUAUGUUUCCUAUCCGAAGUGCCUGGACUUUUUAAAUUUAAAAAUCCUUUGCAUUUUUAUGGAGAGCAUGGAAAAAAUGGAAGCUCCAAUGCAGAUUCAUAAACCAGAGAUCCUAGCCAGUUUAAGGCGCGGCUCCCCUUUCUUGGGUCUGUGCCCCAGGGGACCUGAAAAAUGCUAGUCCAGCAAAAGCAAGGAGGUCACAGGCUCUUGACUACUUUUCUGUUCCUGUUGGGUUGGACCCAAGCAAACUAGUAAUCAUUAAAGGCCAGUGAUUUGUAAUCAGAUUUGCACUUAAGGGCUACUGGCAAUCUUCAAACCGGUAUUUAUUAGCAAGCCAGAUGUCUUGCAGAUUGUCUCACAACCCUGUUUUCUCUAAUUGUGUUUCUUCUCAUGUAGCUCAGCGUAUCUCAAACACACUAAAAAGCUGACUAGAAGCUGGUGGAUCUCAGAUGCCUGCUUCAAUGCUCCCUGCUUUGCCAGGGCAGCUGGAUUGAUUUUUUUUUAAUUCCAAUAUUUUCCAUUAUUUUUAUCCAUCAGGUUAGUUUGAAUAAUGCCAGCCAUUCUUGAUGGACAUUUCGAGUUAUGAGCUGAUGCUGUAGCUCAGCUAAUUUCUUGCCUAACCCUGGGCUCCAACCUGAACACUGGAUUAAUACACAUGCAUAUAUUUCCAGGACAGAAGAAGUGAAGGCAUGAAGAUCAGGAAUGCAGCUAUCCUUGACUUUGUCAGGACCAGCCUGAGCUAAAUGAGCUAGACCCUGCCUCAAACAGAAAACAAGGUCAAAAUAAACCAAUGACAAAAAACAAACAAAAACAAAAACAAAACAAAAAACAAAAAAAGCCACUUUGAGUACUUACAUAUUUCCAUUUUCAUUUGUUUAGUCUUAUCUUCUAAGUAGCCAAGGUUGACUUCUAAUUCUCACAGUUUGAUCGGCAAAAGAAGAGGACUCGUCCAAGCUUUGAACCCAGGACUUCUCAGACCUUAAGUGAGAAUCAUACCCCUAGACCAACAAGCCUUAAAGAGAAGCUACAGCUAUUCUUUCUAAGAGGGAUAUAGUGGAGUUCUGUGGUUGAAUUCAAUAAACACAGGAAGAAUUGAAUUUCAGAUCUACCUGAAAAGGGUGAUGCAAGACUACCCACUGUCCCACUUUAUCCAGAAUGUCAAAAAUAGAAUAGACUCUGUAACACUUCCACCUACUGUAAUCUAGUACACCCAGUGCUGCUUCAGGCAGAGCAAAAGACCCACAAACUGCUCAAGUGCCUCCAAUUCUGACCUAAUGUCAGAGAUACCGAAUGCAGAACCCCAACAAUGGGGCACUACUUGAAGUGCAAGCAUUGUCUCCAGUUGAGACCCAACUAAAAUAACAUCUCCCCCAACAUGGGGCUCGAACCCACCACCCUGAGAUUAAAAGUCUCAUACUCUACCUACUGAGCUGGCUGGGCAACUGUUCUCUAGCUUAGAAGUUUACUAACUGUGACCUGAAGGUAUUGAACUGGCAAAGUAAAUAAAGCCAUUUCAGAUUGAGGGCAGCUUCUAAAACAAGAAGUUUCACCUCCACACAGCAGACAGACACCCAAGACCCUGAGAUACAUACAUUAAAGCUGAAGUGCCUGCUCAUUCUCCUUCUCCUAUUCCCACCUGAAAGUGGAACCUCUAGUCCCUGCCCCCUGACCACUGGGUAAGCGUCUCCAGAGCCAGACCUUGGCUACCACUUGCUCUGUUCACAUAUCAUAGAAAUGCAAUGCAGACAGGCACAGCCAUGGCUGGCACUGGAGGAGCAUGGUCCAACCUAGGUCCAUACCUGCACCAGGUCUUUGUGCAUCUGAUCAGUAUUUGCUUACUAAACUGUAUGUUUGCCUG
rnacentral:lncRNA from 1 species